rnacentral:rRNA from 1 species
UGAGGAAUAUUGGACAAUGGGUGAGAGCCUGAUCCAGCCAUCCCGCGUGAAGGACGACUGCCCUAUGGGUUGUAAACUUCUUUUAUACUGGGAUAAACCUACCCUCGUGAGGGUAGCCGAAGGUACAGUAUGAAUAAGCACCGGCUAACUCCGUGCCAGCAGCCGCGGUAAUACGGAGGGUGCAAGCGUUAUCCGGAUUUAUUGGGUUUAAAGGGUCCGUAGGCGGGCUCGUAAGUCAGUGGUGAAAUCUCAUAGCUUAACUAUGAAACUGCCAUUGAUACUGCGGGUCUUGAGUAAAGUAGAAGUGGCUGGAAUAAGUAGUGUAGCGGUGAAAUGCAUAGAUAUUACUUAGAACACCAAUUGCGAAGGCAGGGUCACUAUGUUUUUAACUGACGCUGAUGGACGAAAGCGUGGGGAGCGAACAGGAUUAGUAUACCCUGGUAGUCCACGCCGUAAACGAUGCUAAGC